UACGAAGGGGGCUAGCGUUGCUCGGAAUUACUGGGCGUAAAGGGCGCGUAGGCGGCUAGUUUAGUCAGAGGUGAAAGCCCAGGGCUCAACCCUGGAAUUGCCUUUGAUACUGGCUAUCUUGAGUUCGGGAGAGGUGAGUGGAACUCCGAGUGUAGAGGUGAAAUUCGUAGAUAUUCGGAAGAACACCAGUGGCGAAGGCGACUCACUGGCCCGAUACUGACGCUGGGGCGCGAAAGCGUGGGGAGCAAACAGG
rnacentral:rRNA from 1 species